rnacentral:rRNA from 1 species
CACAAUGGGCGCAAGCCUGAUGCAGCCAUGCCGCGUGUGUGAAGAAGGCCUUCGGGUUGUAAAGCACUUUCAGCGGGGAGGAAGGCGGUGAGGUUAAUAACCUCAUCGAUUGACGUUACCCGCAGAAGAAGCACCGGCUAACUCCGUGCCAGCAGCCGCGGUAAUACGGAGGGUGCAAGCGUUAAUCGGAAUUACUGGGCGUAAAGCGCA